GGGCGGUUAGCUCAGCGGUAGAGCACCUGGUUUACACCCAGGUGGUCGUGGGUUCGAGCCCCUCACCGCCCA
rnacentral:tRNA from 1 species